ACUCAAAUGAAUAGACGGGGACUCGCACAAGCGGUGGAUCAUGUGGCUUAAUUCGUCGGUAAGCGAAGAACCUUACCCAGGUUAGAAACCAAACUGCACGCCUCCUGAAAGGGAGGAAGCCUUCGAGGGUGUUUGGCAGGUGAUGCAUGGUUGUCGUCAGUUCGUGGCUUGAGCUGUUCCCUUCAGUGGGGUAACGAACGCAACCCCCGUUGUCUGUUACUUAUGUCAGGCGAGACUGCCCCCUCACGGGGGAGGAAGGUGGGGAUGACGCCAAAUCAGCAUGUCCCUUGAUACCUGGGGCUGCACACGUGAUACAAUGGUUGGUACAGAAGGACGCAAGACCGCAAGGUGGAGCAAAUCCCAAAAACCAACCCCAGUACGGAUCGAGGUCUGCAACCGACCUCGUGAAGCCGGAAUCGCUAGUAAUCGUAGGUCAGCCAUACUACGGUGAAUACGUUCUCGAGUCUUGUACACACCGCCCGU
rnacentral:rRNA from 1 species